rnacentral:rRNA from 1 species
AGGCAGCAGUGGGGAAUAUUGCACAAUGGGCGCAAGCCUGAUGCAGCCAUGCCGCGUGUGUGAAGAAGGCCUUCGGGUUGUAAAGCACUUUCAGCGGGGAGGAAGGCGAUAAGGUUAAUAACCUUGUCGAUUGACGUUACCCGCAGAAGAAGCACCGGCUAACUCCGUGCCAGCAGCCGCGGUAAUACGGAGGGUGCAAGCGUUAAUCGGAAUUACUGGGCGUAAAGCGCACGCAGGCGGUCUGUCAAGUCGGAUGUGAAAUCCCCGGGCUCAACCUGGGAACUGCAUUCGAAACUGGCAGGCCAGAGUCUUGGAGAGGGGGGUAGAAUUCCAGGUGUAGCGGUGAAAUGCGUAGAGAUCUGGAGGAAUACCGGUGGGG